GACGAACGCUGGCGGCGUGCUUAACACAUGCCAGUCGAACGGAAAGGCCCUGCUUGCAGGGUACUCGAGUGGCGAACGGGUGAGUAACACGUGGGUGAUCUGCCCUGCACUUCGGGAUAAGCCUGGGAAACUGGGUCUAAUACCGGAUAGGAGCCAUUUUUAGUGUGAUGGUUGGAAAGUUUUUUCGGUGUAGGAUGAGCUCGCGGCCUAUCAGCUUGUUGGUGGGGUAAUGGCCUACCAAGGCGGCGACGGGUAGCCGGCCUGAGAGGGUGGACGGCCACAUUGGGACUGAGAUACGGCCCAGACUCCUACGGGAGGCAGCAGUGGGGAAUAUUGCACAAUGGGCGCAAGCCUGAUGCAGCGAAGCCGCGUGGGGGAUGACGGCCUUCGGGUUGUAAACUCCUUUCGCUAGGGACGAAGCUUUUUGUGACGGUACCUAGAUAAGAAGCACCGGCUAACUACGUG
rnacentral:rRNA from 1 species